UACGUAGGGACCAAGCGUUGUUCGGAUUUACUGGGCGUAAAGGGCGCGUAGGCGGCGUGGUUAGUCACUUGUGAAAUCUCUGAGCUUAACUCAGAACGGCCAAGUGAUACUGCUGUGCUAGAGUGCAGAAGGGGCAAUCGGAAUUCUUGGUGUAGCGGUGAAAUGCGUAGAUAUCAAGAGGAACACCUGAGGUGAAGACGGGUUGCUAGGCUGACACUGACGCUGAGGCGCGAAAGCCAGGGGAGCAAACGGG
rnacentral:rRNA from 1 species